rnacentral:rRNA from 1 species
GAUUAACGCUGGCGGCGUGCAUAACACAUGCAAGUCGAACGAUGAAACUCAUUAGAUUUCUUCGGAAUGAAACUGAAUGGAUUAGUGGCGAACGGGUGAGUAACGCGUGAGUAACCUGCCUUACACAAGGGGAUAGCCUCUGGAAACGGAGAAUAAUACCCUAUGAAACCAGACAAUCGCAUGAUAAUCUGGUCAAAAUGUUUAGUGGUGUAAGAUGGACUUGCGUCUGAUUAGCUAGUUGGUGAGAUAAAAGCUCACCAAGGCAACGAUCAGUAGCCGGCUUGAGAGAGUGUACGGCCACAUUGGGACUGAGACACGGCCCAGACUCCUACGGGAGGCAGCAGUGGGGAAUUUUGCACAAUGGGGGAAACCCUGAGGCAGCGACGCCGCGUGAUUUAGAAGGCCUUCGGGUUGUAAAAAUCUUUUGUAUAGGAAGAAAAUGACAGUACUAUACGAAUAAGGUCCGGCUAAUUACGUG